GGAAGGAUCAUUAUCACGUAUAUCCACGUUAUAAACCCUUCUUUGAAAUGUUUUAUUUCUACAAUUUUCUGAUCGACAGCAAGGAUUGGGCAUUUUUAAGGGUGAAAGAAUAGACUUGUAGGUUCGCCCUGCAUGAAAUGAGUUACUAUUGUAAUUUGAAAGCUCAGACUAUUCGAGUAGCUAAACCAUUCGUUCAUAUCUAUAUCGAAAAAACUGUGUGUUUUUUCUCUUUAUUAUGAAGUGUCGAUGGUUUAUUUGCAGCAAUGCAAACCGCCAGCAAUCGAACCGCAUCAGAAAAGUAAUUCAAAUUUACAUUAUUUGUUAAUAAACAACUUUAACCCCUUUUGAUAAAUUGAACUAAAUUAAUUUUCAUACUCUGAUAAAAAGGAGAUGAAAUUCAUUACGAAACAAAGAACAACUCUUAGCAACGGAUAUCUUGGUUCUCGUAACGAUGAAGAACGCAGCGAAAUGCGAUACGUAAUGCGAAUUGCAGAAUUCAGUGAAUCAUCAAAUCUUUGAACGCAAAUUGCGCUUUCUGGAUAGGCCAGGGAGCAUGCCUCUUUGAGCAUCGUUUCUACCAAAACUCGUUAGCUUUGCCAGUAAAAUGGCGGAGCGAGCGGAGAUUGCGCUUCUCGCUGGAAACAGUGAGUGGCGUUAAGAAGCGUGAGUUCAUUUCACACUGUUCUAGUGUUCGACCUUUUUGGUUUCAUUAUCAAAAAGGGCGCCUUUCUAAACCAAAGGUUUAUACUAGUUAUGUAGAUAAAAUUUUUUUAACCACAUAACACAAGUAGAUUCAGUUGAUUUAGUUGUUUGGCUAAAACAAUAGAACCGAAUUGAAUUCGUUUGAAAAUUAAAAUUUUUGAAUUAAGAUCUCAAAUGAAGCAAGAUUACCCGCUGAACUUAAGCAUAUUAUUAAGCGGAGGAAAAGAAACUAACAAGGAUGCCCUCAGUAACGGCGAGUGAAGCGGGCAAAGCUCAACCUGAAAAUCGGAUUCCUUAGCGGGAUUUCGAAUUGUGGGCUACAGACGCGUAAUCAGUGUGUGACCCAGGUAUAAAUCUCUUUGAAACGAGGUAUCAUAGAGGGUGAGAAUCCCGUCUGUGACUUGGAGUUCGCCGCGUACGAUUCGUGCUCGCAGAGUCGCGUUGUUUGGGAUUGCAGCGCUAAAUGGGUGGUAAAUUUCAUCUAAAGCUAAAUAUCGACGAGAGACCGAUAGCGAACAAGUACCGUGAGGGAAAGAUGAAAAGAACUUUGAAAAGAGAGUUAAAAAGUACUUGAAAUUGCUAAGAGGGAAGCACUGGAAACCAGUCGUGACCCGCGUGUAUAUUUAGCAUGUGCGUCUGGAUCCGCGUAGUGUUGAGAGCCAAAAGCCUCAUAGCUAUUCGGUGAAUUGCGUGCUAGCGACCUGUACUGUGGGUUGAGUCAGAAUCAAUUUGAUUCGUGAGAGAAAGCUAUCACAACGGUAGGACCGCGGGGGCAACUCCAAGGUCUGUUUAGUGUGGUAGUGCUAUCAUGGGUUGGAUUGAGGGACAAUCAACAACGCGCCCCGCAUGGGGAUGCGCUCCCCGACCCUUGACGAUCAGAAGGUUUGGACAACAAAGUUGUGCUGCUUUCGAAGUUGUCUACUGGAAGGGAUGAGCGACAAGCUGCGUUCGAGAUUCUGACGAAAUGGUUUUCAUUGACCCGUCUUGAAACACGGACCAAGGAGUCUAACAUAUAUGCGAGUAUUUGGGCUGGAAACCCUUAUGCGCAAUGAAAGUGAAGGUUGUCUUCGGACUUCUGAGGUAGGAACCUGUGUCCUCGGACAUAGGGGCACUAUCGACCGAUCGUCACUUGUGGAAGAUUUGAGUAUGAGCAUAUCUGUUGGGACCCGAAAGAUGGUGAUCUAUGCCUGAACAGGGCGAAGCCAGGGGAAACUCUGGUGGAGGCUCGUAGCGAUACUGACGUGCAAAUCGUUCGUCUGAUUUGGGUAUAGGGGCGAAAGACUAAUCGAACCAUCUAGUAGCUGGUUCCCUC
rnacentral:misc_RNA from 1 species